rnacentral:lncRNA from 1 species
UGGUAGUUUCUUUUAACUUCAAAACAAAACAACAACAAAAACCCAGCUGUAUUAGAAUCAAAGAAUCAAGCUCAAGAUAGUCACAAAAAAUAAAUGAUGUAUUUUUCCUCCAUAGAUCAAAACUAUAACAAACGCAAGACAAUUGUAUCAAAGUUCAGUGUCCAGAUUUUUUUUUCGUAAUACAAAAAAGAGAUACUGCAAUUACUUUACUGCUCAAGAAUUUCCUUGUUCAAGCUGCUGAAUUCUUCUCUCAUUGAAGUUUUGUCAGUAACUUUCUUUAAACUACAACGUACAAAGAAUUCUUUAUCAACCUCAUCUUAUCUAAAGCUCUUCUUUUGUUCUAGAGAGUUUUGUCACAUGCUCCUCUAUAAAUUUACUCAAAUGCUCUAAAUCUCUGUCACCACCUUCAAAUUUAAUAGGAUUGUUCUUCUUGUCCCUUGGAGCAAAGUAGAUGGUAGGGAAUCCUUCCACUUUGUAGUGAUCAUUUGUCACAUCGUUGGCAGUAGCAUCCAUCUUGGCUAUGACUAGAUUUUUCUCAUUCUUGUAUUUUUUGCCUAGCUCAGUAUACACUGGUUCUAGUUUCUUGCAGUGUCCACACCAUGGGGCAUAGAACUCUAUGAGAACAUCAUUCUUUGGAUCCAUUACUAUGGUAUCAAAAGUUUUACCCACUACCACUUUCACAGGCCCUUUGUUAUUUUUUGGCACUGGCUGUGACUUCACAAUAGGCUUCAGUUUUCCUUUUUUGAAUGCCAGCACAAACUGCCUGAGGGCAUCAGAGUCAAACUCUUCUGGCUCCAUGGCAUAUUUCUUGCCACCUUCAUCCAGAAUGGCAACAUUUACAUCCUCUCCACUCUCAAGCAGACCUAGAUCCUUUAUUUCAGAAGAAUAAUCUUCCUCGUCAGAAACAGCAAACACAUAUUCAGGGAAGUCCUUGGCUACUUCUAGGACUUUGCCUCUCCAGUACUGGGUAGCAACACGAUAGUCAAAACUAAAGUCAACAGUAUAAUAGACAACCACUAGAGGACGCUUAGCAUAUCUUUUAGCAUCAUUGGAAGGCUUGCGAUGACCAACUAGAGGCAAAGCAUGUUUCACUACAUGCUCUUUGAUCUCUGACUCACUUGUAGAAUACUGUUUAAGAUCCAAAACGUACAUCUUGGGCUCAUGCUUUGAUUGAAACUUUUCCGGCUGCAUGACAACCAAUUUUCCAGGAGAUACUUUCAAUAGUUUUGCAAUCUCGCUGCUGAAGGUGUGAUGGAACUUGUAAUCUUCUCUUAAACUGUUAGCUGCUUCCUGGUAGAGCUGAUAGACUUCAUCAGUUUCUCCACUAAAAACACCAAUGAUAAUGACAUCAUCUCCAUCCUUCAGAAAUUCCUGUACCUGCUUCGUAGCCUGAAUCUGUUUAGAUGGAGGACCAGCCUGUUCAAUCAUGUAGUCGACAAUACCGUAUUUCUCUCGUGGACCACUGUAGUCAUAAGGCUUGCCUUUGCGAAAGAUUUUCAGAGUUGGAUAGCCAGUAACAUCAAACUUCUUUGCAAGCUCAGUUUCAGCAGUGGCAUCAACUUUAGCCAGAGGAAUGGGAGGUGUGCG